rnacentral:lncRNA from 1 species
CAGUUCAGUUGCCUUUUAUUUUCCUGAAGCUUGAACUAGAACAAGAAGGAAUGGCUGUCAGAGUGGGAAUUCCAACUUCAUCUGGAAAUCCAAGGAAGAUGGAAAUCCAAGCACUAGAGAAUCUGAGGCAAGAAGAUCGUGAGCAGCAUGAGCAGAGGUGGUAAAACAGAGAAGAUCAGAAAAGAAGCUGGUGUGUCUGGAGCUGGUGUGAGGCAAAAGGCUUGAGUACUGAGAUGACAGUGGUAGAUGCUGGUCAGGUGUGAAGCUGCAAAAGGACGUAGCACCCCUUUUGUGCAAGGAGGGGAUAUAAGGUCAGUGUGACUUCUCUGUGGAUUGGAAGAAACAAGGCAAGGCAGUGAGACAGGAAAAGAUGCUGUUUGAGUUGUCUCAGUGGGCGCCAAGAAUGAUGUAGGGUAGGAUAUCAAUGGGGUCAUCGUUAGAGAGGCUUCCUCUGGCAGCAGUCAUGAACAGAUACAGGGAUCCUUAACCAGACAUUAUGUGAAGAGAGCAUCUGAAUUGGAUAUUCCCAUCAAAUCCUUCUCUUCAGAGCUCAGAGAAUCUCAACAAAGAGGAAAAAAAUAGAAAGGACUGUGAGAGUCAGGAGAGCCAGGUCCUCUGAAUCAACUAAGCAAGGCACGUGUGAUCUCACAGCGUCUGAAGCAGAAAGCAUAGGGCUAUGUAAGCCUGAACUGGAAUUGCCGGGAUCACUGAAUGAAGAGCAUGGCAAUUCCAGCUACCUUAGUUAGCCAGGCUGUUCUGGAAACAACACAAAUACACCUGAAGAAUCAAAACCGAGCUAGGAGAAAAUAGAGCUGAAAAACCAUCAUCAAGUCAAAUGCAAGAAGAGUCAAAUUCUACUGAAGCAAUUGCAUCAAUCUCAAAGGAUUAAUUUAAUGAGAUGCCAGACUGCCUGUGGAGCCUCAGCAGGAGAGGACAGACUUAGUCUGACUGGGCCUUGAUGUCACAAGAGUAAAUUCAAACAGACCUCUUCCACUGUGGCAGUCUGGAAUACAAGAGGAAAAAGGAGAUGGAAUAUUAUCCAGCAUUCCAAAGUAUAUGUUUGAAGGUGGAUGAAAGAUGGCGUCAAGAAGGCAGUUCCUGAUAGCACAACAAAAGGAACUAAGAUGUCACCGAGAGCUGUGAACAGCGGCCAUGCCUGGAUGUUGCCAAGUGUUAGUGUGGAUAUCAAGGAAGGAUGAAGAGAACGCGUGGAGUGGAACGGAAAUUGUGUUCAAGUAGUGUGCUAGACAGGUGUCUGGAAGCCUGCGUCUUGGCACAAUGAAUUCGUUGUCUCCGUAAUAGGAGGGGCUUACUGACACUCCCUCUGUGUGGUAAAAAUGAAAGACUGGUGGUUCUGCAAGAUCAAGAGAAGGAUGCAGAGUUGGAGACACAUAAGACAUGGCCAUACUAUCUU